rnacentral:lncRNA from 1 species
GCCACAGAUGUGGAUUUAAGUUUUCUAGCUGCCAAAAUGUAAAGAGGGAAACACGAUCCUCUGCAGGACUCAACAGUAUCCCUGAGAUCGAAUCUGACAAACUGCUCAGAAGGGGCACCUAUGCUUUUCCCUGAGAUGAAUGUCUCCCAUCGUCAGAUGUCAGAUUCUGGAUCUAUUUUGACAAGAGAGCUCAAAGGAUUUCUUCACAGAUGGAAAUGAGGGAAGUUUGAAUUCUCUGUAUUGAUGUGUUUUGUGAGCUGUGUAUCUCCUCCGGUCCCAGCCCAGCAAUGGCUUCUGAUCUCACUCAGAGUAAAAGCCCAGUCCUUGUCCGGGAGACGGAUGAAGUUGAAAGCCAUCAUUCUCAGCAAACUAACACAGGAACAGAAAACCAAACACCACAUGUUCUCACUCAUAAGUGGGAGUUGAAAAAUGAGAAUACAUGGACACAAGGAGGGGAACAUCAUUCACCGGGGCCUGUCGAGGGGUGGAGGGCAAGGGGAGGGAGAGCAUUAGGUUGAAUACCUAAUGCAUGUGGGGCUUGAAACCUAGAUGAUGGGUUGAUGGGUGCAGCAAACCAUCAUGGCACAUGUAUAACUAUGAAACAAACCUUCACAUUCUACAUAUGUAUCCCAG